AGCAGUGUGGCUCAGUGGAAAGAGCCUGGGCUUUGGAGUCAGAGGUCAUGGGUUCGACUCCCGGCUCUGCCA
rnacentral:tRNA from 1 species